AGCUAGUUGGUAAGGUAAAGGCUUACCAAGGCAAUGAUACGUAGCCGAACUGAGAGGUUGAUCGGCCACAUUGGGACUGAGACACGGCCCAAACUCCUACGGGAGGCAGCAGUAGGGAAUCUUCCACAAUGGACGAAAGUCUGAUGGAGCAACGCCGCGUGAGUGAAGAAGGUCUUCGGAUCGUAAAACUCUGUUGUUAGAGAAGAACGUGCAUGAUAGUAACUGAUCAUGUAAUGACGGUAUCUAACCAGAAAGCCACGGCUAACUACGUGC
rnacentral:rRNA from 1 species